CAUUUUAUUUAGAAUAAUAUCCUGUCUUCAGGUACAAAGAGUAUUAGGUGAGAAAUGAAGGAGACUGAUUUCUACAGAUUUGAUAUGUGAUCUCCCAGUGCCCCAGUAAUUAGUAUGGAUCAUCCAUGGGAAUACAAUGAGAUUCUGUCUGCUGUUAUGUCCACAGAGGCUUCAGCGACUCUGGUACGGACUCUCGGAUGUGUAUGGGAAACAAUCCCUUGCCCAUAGUUGCAGGAGCAGAGGGCGUGACACUAAAAACAAGAAGGGCAACAGAACUUUGUGAAGAUGAGCUCAAGCUCGUCUUGGUGGAAGCUUCCUGAGGACCACAUGGAUAGCCUGGGUCUCUAAUUCCAGAAGUUAGGAUACAGUGGGACUCAGAUGGCUGAUGCCCGAGGAGUCAGAGAUAGCCAGAGAUGAUCACAGAGGGAACCAAACUGUCCCCCGAAAGACUUGGAGGAAGAAUACAAGGUUAAAGGAAGUGGUCAGAGAAGACCCAAUGAUGGCAGACAUCGUAGGCAUCCAAUAAGAAAUGGAGGAGCCAGUAAAUCACCUUCUUGUGACAAAAGUCCCAUCAAGUUAAGUGGUUGUGCUUCCAUGAUGCAGCAGAUGUGUUGUGGGAUGAGGAAGAUGGGCCACUCAGCACAGG